GGUCCGGCCCCACACAGGGGGUGGGGGCCAGUUCUCCUGGGACCCCGUGAGGGCCCAGAGGAGAGCCCCAUCCCCUGAGCUGCCCAGAGCGGGCCCCCAGGCUGGAUGGCUCUGUCCUGCCACCUUUCCCCUCCUGGAGCUGUGGAGACCAAGGCCUAGCAGGCCUGAGUGGUGAGCAGGGUCAGAGCCAGGAGGCAGCUGGGGCGCUGAGGAACCAGGCCACAUGGGACCCGGGACCCGCAGGAGCUGGGAGCAUCCACCUGCCUUUGCCCUUUGUGGCUCGAGAGACACGGGCACAGGAGAGCACCCACUGCGUGGCCCCCACCUCACUGCCACGUCCACCUCACCCCACAAGCCCUGCUAAGCCCCUUGCAGCCCCUACAG